AACGAACGCUGGCGGCAUGCCUAACACAUGCAAGUCGAACGAGACCUUCGGGUCUAGUGGCGCACGGGUGCGUAACGCGUGGGAACCUGCCCUUAGGUUCGGAAUAACUCCCCGAAAGGGGUGCUAAUACCGGAUAAUGUCUUCGGACCAAAGAUUUAUCGCCUUUGGAUGGGCCCGCGUUGGAUUAGCUAGUUGGUAGGGUAAAAGCCUACCAAGGCGACGAUCCAUAGCUGGUCUGAGAGGAUGAUCAGCCCCACUGGGACUGAGACACGGCCCAGACUCCUACGGGAGGCAGCAGUGGGGAAUAUUGGACAAUGGGCGAAAGACUGAUCCGGCAAUGCCGCGUGAGUGAUGAAGGCCUUAGGGUUGUAAAGCUCUUUUACCCGGGAUGAUAAUGACAGUACCGGGAGAAUAAGCUCCGGCUAACUCCGUG
rnacentral:rRNA from 1 species